CGGGUGAGUAACACGUGGGUGAUCUGCCCUGCACUUCGGGAUAAGCCUGGGAAACUGGGUCUAAUACCGGAUAGGAGCCAUUUUUAGUGUGAUGGUUGGAAAGUUUUUUUCGGUGUAGGAUGAGCUCGCGGCCUAUCAGCUUGUUGGUGGGGUAAUGGCCUACCAAGGCGGCGACGGGUAGCCGGCCUGAGAGGGUGGACGGCCACAUUGGGACUGAGAUACGGCCCAGACUCCUACGGGAGGCAGCAGUGGGGAAUAUUGCACAAUGGGCGCAAGCCUGAUGCAGCGACGCCGCGUGGGGGAUGACGGCCUUCGGGUUGUAAACUCCUUUCGCUAGGGACGAAGCUUUUUGUGACGGUACCUAGAUAAGAAGCACCGGCCAACUACGUGCCAGCAGCCGCGGUAAUACGUAGGGUGCGAGCGUUGUCCGGAAUUACUGGGCGUAAAGGGCUCGUAGGUGGUUUGUCGCGUCGUCUGUGAAAUUCCGGGGCUUAACUCCGGGCGUGCAGGCGAUACGGGCAUAACUUGAGUACUGUAGGGGUAACUGGAAUUCCUGGUGUACGGUGAAAUGCGCAGAUAUCAGGAGGAACACCGAUGGCGAAGGCAGGUUACUGGGCAGUUACUGACGCUGAGGAGCGAAAGCAUGGUAGCGAACAGGAUUAGAUACCCUGGUAGUCCAUGCCGUAAACGGUGGGCGCUAGGUGUGAGGGUCUUUUCACGACUUUCGUGCCGUAGCUAACGCAUAAGCGCCCCGCCUGGGGAUCG
rnacentral:rRNA from 1 species